AUCCUAAAAAGAUGUGUUUUCUAGGAAAUUUAUGAAAAAGUCCCUGACAAUCAUACUUUUGAGUAUAAGUUUUGGGUAACUUUGAAGAUUAUACUAUUGGACUAGGUAAAAACUUCCAGAAUACUAAUUUUAGAAAUCCCUGAUGGAUUCAUAAAGAUUGCCAAAUCAAUAUCGAGCAGAACAAGAAUUAUAUACAUGGUGUUAAACUUAUGGGGAAACAUUGAUGAUUCGUAUUAUAUUUUGCUUUCCAGAUUGAAGAAAACAUUUUUAUCCCAGCUAUGUAUAGCUUACAACUGGGACACAACUGAAGACAAUACUUAUUUUUACCAAGGAUUUGAUUGGAACUUUAUACUUUAAAAUGUGAUCAGACUGCUUUUAAUAAUUGACAUUGACUUUAUAAAGCCAAUAGAUGUAGAAAAAGACAGCUUGUACCUUGUCUACAUGGCUUUUUUUUACCGGACUCCUGAUCUUGUCGUAAGGAAAGAAUGUCACUUUCUAGCAGGUGAGAACCUCAAGAUCUAUGGAAAACUCCAAGAAAAAAAAUUUACCCAAUACACACAGGCAUUACAGGCACAAUCUGUUAUGAAAUCCUUGGCUUGGCUCUUCAGGCUCAAGAGGCUUUUGAAAGUCUAACUUGAGACAGGAGGUGGAGUAAGAUGGCUGAAUAGAAGCCAGCAGCAAUUAUCUUACUAUAGUCACACCAAAGUGAACAAUUGUACACACAAGAAAGCACCUUUAUAAGAACCAAGAAAGAAUCAGGUGAGUGAUCACAGUAUUUGGUUUUAACAUAAUAUCAAGGAAAGAGUAACUGAAAAGGGCAGAAAAGACAAUUUUGUAUUGCCUACACAAUCCUUCCCCCUUCCCCAAGGAGCGUGAAAAGAG
rnacentral:lncRNA from 1 species